rnacentral:rRNA from 1 species
AUUGAACGCUGGCGGCAUGCCUUACACAUGCAAGUCGAACGGUAACGGACCUUCGGGUGCCGACGAGUGGCGGACGGGUGAGUAAUGUAUCGGAACGUACCUUUCAGUGGGGGAUAACGUAGCGAACGUUACCCUCAUACCGCAUAUUCUGUGCUCCGGAAAGCAGGUGACCUUAGGGCCUUGCCCUGAUUGCGCUGCCGAUAUCAAAUUAGAUAGUUGGGGAGGUAAAGGCUCACCAAGGCGACGAUCUGUAGCGGGUCUGAGAGGAUGAUCCGCCACACUGGAACUGAGACACGGUCCAGACUCCUACGGGAGGCAGCAGUGGGGAAUUUUGGACAAUGGGGGCAACCCUGAUCCAGCCAUGCCGCGUGAGUGAAGAAGGCCUUCGGGUUGUAAAGCUCUUUCGGCCGGGAAGAAAUCGUAUCAGCUAAUACCUGGUGCGGAUGACGGUACCGGCAUAAGAAGCACCGGCUAACUACGUGCCAGCCGCCGCGUAAAAC